rnacentral:rRNA from 1 species
GUAGGUGGCAAGCGUUGUCCGGAAUUAUUGGGCGUAAAGCGCGCGCAGGCGGUUCUUUAAGUCUGAUGUGAAAGCCCACGGGCUCAACCGUGGAGGGUCAUUGGAAACUGGAGAACUUGAGUACAGAAGAGGAAAGCGGAAUUCCACGUGUAGCGGUGAAAUGCGUAGAGAUGUGGAGGAACACCAGUGGCGAAGGCGGCUUUCUGGUCUGUAACUGACGCUGAGGCGCGAAAGCGUGGGGAGCAAACAGGAUUAGAUACCCUGGUAGUCCACGCCGUAAACGAUGAGUGCUAAGUGUUAGGGGGUUUCCGCCCCUUAGUGCUGCAGCUAACGCAUUAAGCACUCCGCCUGGGGAGUACGGCCGAAAAGGCUG